GAUGAACGCUGGCGGCGUGCUUAACACAUGCAAGUCGAGCGAAAAGACGAGGAGUUUGCUCCUCUGACGUUAGCGGCGGACGGGUGAGUAACACGUGGAUAACCUACCUAUCAUACUGGGAUAACUUCGGGAAUCCGGAGCUAAUCCCGGAUAACCUAACGAACAGCAUGGUUCAGUAGUGAAAGUCGGUUUUGCUGUCACUCAUAGCUGGUCACGCGCUGCAUUAGCUAGUUGGUAAGGUAACGGCCUACCAAGAGACCGAAGCGUAGACGACCUGAGAGGGGGGUCGGCCGCACGAGAACUUAGACAGGGUCCAGAGGCCUGCGGGAGGGAGCAGUAGGGAAUCUGCCGCAACGGGCGAGAGCAUGACAGAGCAACGCGGCGUGAGUGAUGAAGGUCUUCGGAUCGUAAAACUCUGUUAUGAGUGAUGAACAAAUGUGUAAGUAGCUAUACACUUCUUGACGGUACCUAAUCAGAAAGCAACGGCUAACUACGUG
rnacentral:rRNA from 1 species